rnacentral:RNase_P_RNA from 1 species
UAAGUAAAUCGCCUUAUCGCACAGAUAUUUAUUGUUUGUGAGGAAAGUCUGGACACCAUAGUGCAAUAUAGUGGUUAACAGCCACCAGCCGUGAGGUUAGGAAAAGUGCAACAGAAAGUAUGUACAGGUCAUGCUGUAGUGAAACCAGGUAAACUCUAUUAGGUGCAAUGUCAUGUAAACUAGCGUUUGAGCGUGCACGCGCGAGCUAGAGGGUAGGCAGCUAAAGUAUAUUGGUAACAAUACGCGUAGAUAAAUGAUAAGGGUCAAGACAUGAUUUAUCAUCGUUUUGUAACAGAAUCCGGCUUAUAGAUUUACUUAAAUA